rnacentral:misc_RNA from 1 species
UCGAGUUGAGGGUCGCCCUCGCGCGCCCGAACCUCCCAACCCUGUGUCUACCACACCUUGUCGUUGCUUCGGCGGACCGGCCGCGCGUUUCGUGACCAACUGGUCGCACGCCGGCCGCCGGGGGCCCGUCGUGCCCCUGGAGAGCGUCCGCCGAUGGCCCAACCACACAAACUCUUGUACCGAAACGUGUCGUCUGAACGAAAAACAAGUGAUUGUAUAAUCAAACACA